CAAAAGUUAGGUAUGGGGGUAUUUGAUAAACACAUAAUUCAUACAUUUUGUUAUCCCUAAUUUUGUCCUUUUAAUUAUAUUAGUUUAUUAAAUUAAUAUGUUUUAUUUUAUUUUGUAGGAUUUAAUAAUUGUUGCAAUAAAGUCAAAAUCUUGGUGAUCAAGGGAUAUUUAAUGCUUUUAUUCAUAUAAGGAAUAUCCAAGAAGAAUUCUACAAGGAAAAGGAAAGAGGUGGAACAAUAUUGGUGUAAAAGUCAAAUCCAACAAGAGAAAGAAAAGUCCAUCUAGAAGAUCUUUGUGAGAAGUUGAUUGCUACUAGGAAGUUGAAUCCUACAUGGAAAGGGAAUCAAAGUGUCCAAGUUCAAUUAGGGUUCAAGGUUAUUUUUCCCUAUAAAUAGACCUCUUGUGAAAGAGAGAAAGGCAC
rnacentral:lncRNA from 1 species